rnacentral:rRNA from 1 species
GACGAACGCUGGCGGCGUGCUUAACACAUGCAAGUCGAACGGUAAGGCCCCUUCGGGGGUACACGAGUGGCGAACGGGCGCGUAACACGUGAGCAACCUGCCCUUGACUCUGGAAUAACAGUUGGAAACAGCUGCUAAUACUGGAUAUUCAUCGUCUCCUUCCUGGGGGUUGGUGGAAAGGUCCGGCGGUCAGGGAGGGGCUCGCGGCCGAUCAGCUUGUUGGUGAGGUAAUGGCUCACGAAGGCUUCGACGGGUAGCCGGCCUGAGAGGGGGACCGGCCACACUGGGACUGAGAAACGGCCCAGACUCCUACGGGAGGCAGCAGUGGGGAAUAUUGCACAAUGGGCGCAAGCCUGAUGCAGCAACGCCGCGUGCGGGAUGACGGCCUUCGGGUUGUAAACCGCUUUCAGUAGGGACGAAGGGUGACUGACGGUACCUACAGAAGAAGGACCGGCUAACUACGUG